GUAGUCUCGCACAGAUGCAUAUCAAUAAGCGGAGGAAAAGAAACUAACAAGGAUUCCCCUAGUAACGGCGAGUGAAGCGGGAAGAGCUCAAAUUUGAAAUCUUAAAGGGUUUCCCUUUACGAAUUGUAGUUUAAAGAAGUGUUUUCUGUUGAGGUUUUGGUAAAAGUUCUUUGGAAUAGGACAUCAUAGAGGGUGAGAAUCCCGUAUUUGACCUUUACUUUCAACUUUGUGAUACACUUUCAAAGAGUCGGAUUGUUUGGGAAUGCAGUCCAAAAUGGGUGGUAAAUUUCAUCUAAAGCUAAAUAUUGGCGAGAGACCGAUAGCGAACAAGUACCGUGAGGGAAAGAUGAAAAGAACUUUGAAAAGAGAGUUAAACAGUACGUGAAAUUGUCAAAAGGGAAGCGUUUGACACCAGUGUUGUUUUUCUGAAAAUCAAUUAAAGAACUGUUUAUGCUAAGUUGUUUAGACUUUAUCAGCUAUCUGUUUAGUUUUGAGCUUUUCUUUAAUGCACUUUUCAGUUAACAAGUCAACAUCAAUUUCUUUUGCUGUAAAAAAGCUUGAGGAAGGUGGCUUGAGAUUCGUCUUAAGUGUUUAUAGCCUCUUGCCUAUGCAGUCGGAGAGAUUGAGGUCUGCAGCGUAGAUCCUUCGGGGCUAAAUGCAUUUGUGCUAAGUUAUAGCAUUUUAUAGACAACUUGUUGACUAUGAUUUGUCUUGUAGCUUACUCGCUUAUGUUAUUUUACCUACGCUUAGGAUGUUGAUGUGAUACUGCGAGCA
rnacentral:rRNA from 1 species